GCCUCCCUGGCGUGUAUGUGUGUGAGUGUGUGUGUGGUGGUUGAUUUCAGGGAAUAGGUGACUGCAGAAUAUAGACUGUCACACAAGAUUGAAGGAUUGUUAGUAAAAGACAAUCACUAUCACUACAAAUUCAGUGCUAGUGAUACCAAUCUACUUAUCUAUAUUUGACUUUGAAUUUGACCAAUACAAUAUGAAUAACCACUCUGCAUUAGAUACAUAGGGUUUUAUUGCGACAAAUCAAAUGAGACAGUAUUGCUACCAAUAAUACUGAUUACAAAACCUCUUAUUGUACUACAUCUAUGACCGCAUGUUUAGAAUAAACAAGCCCAACAAAACUACAUCUAUGACCGCAGGUUUAGAAUAAACAAGCCCAACAAAACUACAUCUAUGACCGCAGGUUUAGAAUAAACAAGCCCAACAAAACUACAUCUAUGACCGCAGGUUUAGAAUAAACAAGCCCAACAAAACUACAUCUAUGACCGCAGGUUUAGAAUAAACAAGCCCA